UAGGUUUUGGGGGGGUUGUACUAUAUGAGCAAGCUAAUUACUCUCUAUUCAAAGCGGAUUUAGUAACCCUUUAGGAAACUUUUUCUAUAACCUUUUAUAAAUCCACUUUCCAGAUUUUGAGAUUGCACAAAUGUGUCACCCUUAAGAGGGUUGAGUUUUUUAAUUUGGGGGUAUUUUGUUCAUGUCACCUUUACACUGUAAUAUGAAAUUGGGAACUGGGCCAAAGAAGAAGAGCAGAGGAGAAAAUCAGAAAAGGGUACAGAAGGCUACAGGUACUAUGAAAACUUGGUGGAAAAGGAUAAUUAACGAAGUAAGUUCUGUUGAGUAUUCCACCGUUUUGAUUGGGGAGGUACAUUUUUAAGGAUUUAGUUGGGGUGGGGUUUUUCGUCCUUUUUUUUUUUUCCUGGAUUUGCAUGUGUUUCUCUUUAUUUCCUCUUUUCUCAUCCAUCAUACCCAAAAUGUCUGGUUGUGCUCAGUGGGAACAUAAUUAAGACAAACAUAAACCGAGAUCUUGGAAAGAUUUGUUUCAAAAUUGUUUAUUUGUGAGGAGAUUGAAGAAUAGCAGGACUGUGGAAUCUUCUGGUGCUUCAGAUUUGCGCCUUUUUUCUCUGGUUGCAUUCUGGAGUCCCUUGCGCGCCCUGGGCCCUUUGGAGGCCAGCGGGCGGCGGGUCCGCCAUUUUACCUUGUCCAAGGCGGGCGCGCUCUGGUUAAGUCUCGGGGGUUAUCCUGCAUUGUCUUGGUCUCCCUGGCCUGUCUGUUUUUAUUUCAGAAAUACUUUACCAUAUGUGGUUACACUGAACUCUGUGCCCCCUUCCAUCUUCUUUAAUGUGCAUAGUUUAAUUUUU